GACGAACGCUGGCGGCGUGCUUAACACAUGCAAGUCGAACGCUGAAGCUCAGCUUUUGUUGGGUGGAUGAGUGGCGAACGGGUGAGUAACACGUGAGUAACCUGCCUCCUUCUUUGGGAUAACGCCCGGAAACGGGUGCUAAUACUGGAUAUUCACUGGUCUUCGCAUGGGGGUUGGUGGAAAGGGUUUUUCUGGUGGGGGAUGGGCUCGCGGCCUAUCAGCUUGUUGGUGGGGUGAUGGCCUACCAAGGCUUUGACGGGUAGCCGGCCUGAGAGGGUGACCGGUCACAUUGGGACUGAGAUACGGCCCAGACCCCUACGGGAGGCAGCAGUGGGGAAUAUUGCACAAUGGGCGCAAGCCUGAUGCAGCGACGCCGCGUGAGGGAUGGAGGCCUUCGGGUUGUGAACCUCUUCCGCUCAUGGUCAAGCCGCAACAAUGGUUGUGGUGAGGGUAGUGGGUAAAGAAGCGCCGGCUAACUACGUG
rnacentral:rRNA from 1 species